GGCAGUCAGUCCCCCAGUAACAGCAAGGAAGCAACUUACACCUUCUUUUGGCAAGGGAAGUCCUUGGACAAAUCCCAUCAGCACGGUGUUGGCUUUGGUGUGAAGAACACCCUGGUUGUGUGCAUUGAGCCACCGUCAACUGGCAGCAAAAGAAUCCUU